GGUUAUUCCUCUGUGAAUCUUUUGACAUCUCUAGUGGGCGUGUCAUGAAAACCAAAUCCUGCAUUUGAACCAUUUAUAUUGAUACAUUCAGCUCGACAACACAGCAGCAGUUUGUGUUCAUUUCCAGCAACAGGAAUUGUGUUCAUUCUUUGAGAUGGGACCAGGCAGAGUUUUGAGUUUCUUUACUUUAGCAAUGUUUAUUCAAUAUUCCUGCAGUCAGACACUGAUCGAGUCUGAUUCAGUGAUCAUCAAACCUGAUCAGUCUCAUAAACUGACCUGCACAGCUUCUGGAUUUACCUUUGCUGACUAUUAUAUGGCUUGGAUCAGACAGGCGCCUGGAAAAGGGCUGGAAUGGGUUGCAUCUAUGCACCCCACUAGUUCCAUCUAUUAUUCGAACGCAGUUAAAGGCCGCUUCACCAUCUCCAGAGACAACAGUAAGAUGCAGGUGUAUCUGCACAUGAACAGCGUGAGGACAGAAGACACUGCAGUGUAUUACUGUGCACGAGACACACAGUGAUACUUCUCCUUAAACAUCAGUACAAAAACACAC